rnacentral:rRNA from 1 species
ACGGGUGAGUAAUGCCUAGGAAUCUGCCUGGUAGUGGGGGAUAACGCUCGGAAACGGACGCUAAUACCGCAUACGUCCUACGGGAGAAAGCAGGGGACCUUCGGGCCUUGCGCUAUCAGAUGAGCCUAGGUCGGAUUAGCUAGUUGGUGAGGUAAUGGCUCACCAAGGCGACGAUCCGUAACUGGUCUGAGAGGAUGAUCAGUCACACUGGAACUGAGACACGGUCCAGACUCCUACGGGAGGCAGCAGUGGGGAAUAUUGGACAAUGGGCGAAAGCCUGAUCCAGCCAUGCCGCGUGUGUGAAGAAGGUCUUCGGAUUGUAAAGCACUUUAAGUUGGGAGGAAGGGUUGUAACCUAAUACGUUGCAAUCUUGACGUUACCGACAGAAUAAGCACCGGCUAACUCUGUGCCAGCAGCCGCGGUAAUACAGAGGGUGCAAGCGUUAAUCGGAAUUACUGGGCGUAAAGCGCGCGUAGGUGGUUCGUUAAGUUGGAUGUGAAAUCGCCGGGCUCAACCUGGGAACUGCAUUCAAAACUGACGAGCUAGAGUAUGGUAGAGGGUGGUGGAAUUUCCUGUGUAGCGGUG